rnacentral:tRNA from 1 species
GGUAGAGCGCAUCCUUGGUAAGGAUGAGGUCCCCAGUUCAAAUCUGGGUAACAGCUCCA